rnacentral:rRNA from 1 species
UUGCAGAGGACGUUUCGGGGGAGGCGCCGAUCUAAGUCCGUUGGAACACGGCGUCAUARAGGGUGARAAUCCCGUCUGCGACCGGUGACCGACCCCAUAUGAAACCCCUUCGACGAGUCGAGUUGUUUGGGAAUGCAGCUCAAAACGGGUGGUAAAUUUCAUCUAAAGCUAAAUACCGGCUGGAGACCGAUAGCGCACAAGUAGAGUGAUCGAAAGAUGAAAAGCACUUUGGAAAGAGAGUUAAAAAGUACGUGAAAUUGUUGAAAGGGAAGCGCUUGCAACCAGACCUGCCCGUCGGCGAUCAGCCGCCGCUCGCGGUGGUGUAUGCGUCGACGAACAGGCCAGCAUCGGUCCGGACGGUCGGACAAAGGCCUCGGGAACGUAGCUCUCUCCGGGGAGUCUUAUAGCCCGUGGUGCAAUGCGACCAGU